UUGAUUUGGCCGACUAGCCGACUAGCCGACUAAUCGGCGCUCGAUUGGCCGAUUAGUCGGCCGACUAGUCGGCUAGUCGGCCAGGUCAUUAGUUUCGUAUAAUUUCAGGUGAAAAACAAUAGUUUUGCUCCUUUGGUUGCGCUAUUCAUCAUAUUAGCUUGGAUAAAAGGUAUUCUCUACAGGUUCAAAGACCUAUCACAAGAAUCCUCGUUCAAUUUCUGUCUUUCUUUUAUUUUGCGAUCCUGAGCAGACCGUCAGUACAACUUGUAGGAGGUAUUUCCAAGGCUCUAUUUCCCGUACGUAGUCGCCAGUUAAGAACCCAUCCCCUGUGGUCAGCGUCUUUACGAGCAACGUGCCCUGUUUAUAAGUCUCUAAAUUUUGCAAUAAUAUUAACAGUUCCCCAUGGCUCCACCAUUAAAAAAAAAAACAAAAACUGAAUAAUAAUAAAAUCAUUUAACUAUAGAACUUGGCCAUGAAAUUACACGAGAAUCAGUUGAGAUCGACCUGUAGAGGAAAACACCAGCCCACCAUACGAUAACGAUCAAACGGUCAAUUAUUUCAAACUUUUCGUCUGCACCCUGAAUAGGUAUUUUGGUAAAAUAUACAUAAAACAUAUGGCAAAUAUUGACUGUUGAUUUCUUUUUUUUUCCGUUUUCUUUCACUAAUAAAGUGCCGACUAAUCGGCCAUUUUUGCCGACUAGUCGCCGACUAAUCGCCGACUACAAAUGUGGCCGGAUAGUCGGCUUUCCCGACUAGUCGGCGACUAGUCGGUACAUCCCUAAUUUAUAUUCAAAUUUCGUCAAGUGGACGAAAACUAGAGCUGGACGAAAACAAGCGCAAUGACCCUAUACGUUUUUAGGAAAGGAUAUUCGUUAAAAAAACUAAAUGAUUAAACAAAAAAAAUUAAAAGUAUUUUGUAUUUUGUAUUUGAAAUACAUUAUUUUAAACACUGUAAUUUGUAUUUUGUAUUUCAAAUACCAGUCACCAAAGUAGUUUGUAUUUGGUAUUUCAAAUACUUUUAAAAAUGUAUUUUGUAAUUUGUAUUUGAAAUACGUGGAAGCCAGUAUUUUGCCCAACCCUGCUA